UUUUUUUCUCUAUUAAACUCUUCAGUGCCCUGGUAGAUCAGGCAGGCAUACUUGGAAUUUAGACAGAUGGCACCGAUUCAGGGGACUCUCUUGCUCGAGUUUUCCCCUCGGAGCCUGUUGCCUUCUUGGCGCAGGGACCCUGUCAAGACGAAGAGCUCCACGCAUGGCAGGAGCCCACGCUGAUGCCUGGUGGGCCUGGGGGGUGUCUCUAGCUCAGACUGGGUCUGUUCCAUGUGACCAGAGCCCCAGGACAUCGUUCCUUAGCCAGCUGCUCCGUUGUUGGAGGCCUGGUGUGGUCACAGGUGUGUCCUAGAACGGUGACUUUGCCCCUCCUGCCCUAGGAGAUUUGGGUGUAUUCACAGAGCAGCCAUCUCCUGUCUCCGUCAGAGCAGUCUCUUCCAGGUUACUGGAAGGUCAGUUUCUGUCAGGCCUCACUUCCUUCUUAUCAGAGGGUAGCCAGGUCCCUGCACUGGUAUCUAUUUAGAAAUGUACAUGGAGCCCCCAGCGAAAUGUGCCUACAUUGUGUGUUCCAGAACCGGAGGUACCCUUACCUUCUAGAUAUGUGAUGACAUGGCUCUCACGUCAGGCAGACUGCUGCACCCACGCUCUCGGCCUGCCGUGCAGGGAUUUCACUCGUGGAGUGAGGCAUCUGGGGGCUGUGCAGUGAGGAGCUUUCCAUGUGUUGUUAAGACAACCUGUUAGCAUUGUCUUCUCCCGCGUCUCCUGGCCUCUUCUCUCUUUAAAUCCUUUUCUCUGUUUGUCUUAAUCACAUUAACGUCCUAUUUAUGUUUUAUUCAAUAUACAUUUAAAAUAGAACUUACUAUGUGCCAGGCAUUGUGUUCAACACGUGAAAUAUUUAAUCCUUAGAAUAACCAUAUUGUCAGCAUAAUUUACAAAAAAAAAAAAAACAGCUGUAUCAAUGCCUGUGAAUAUUCGGCUUUACUCGCCCAUUUAAAGAAGAGAUUUUCAAAUUGGCUCAAACCAAAACCUCACUUCAUGGUGUCUA
rnacentral:lncRNA from 10 species